rnacentral:rRNA from 1 species
GACGAACGCUGGCGGCGUGCUUAACACAUGCAAGUCGAACGGAAAGGCCCUGCUUUUGUGGGGUGCUCGAGUGGCGAACGGGUGAGUAACACGUGAGUAACCUGCCCUUGACUUUGGGAUAACUUCAGGAAACUGGGGCUAAUACCGGAUAGGAGCUCCUGCUGCAGUGUGGGGGUUGGAAAGUUUCGGCGGUUGGGGAUGGACUCGCGGCUUAUCAGCUUGUUGGUGGGGUAGUGGCUUACCAAGGCUUUGACGGGUAGCCGGCCUGAGAGGGUGGCCGGCCACAUUGGGACUGAGAGACGGAGCAGACUGCUAUGGUAGGCAGCAGUCGGGAAUAUUGUACAAUGGGAGGAAGCCUGAUGCAGCGACGCCGCGUGCGGGAUGACGGCCUUCUGGUUGUAAACCGCUUUCGCCUGUGACGACGCGUGAGUGACGGUACUGGGUAAAGAAGCACCGGCUAACUACGUG